rnacentral:pre_miRNA from 1 species
UGAUUGUCCGAGCGCAGUUCUUCAGUGGUCGUUGCGAUAUUCAAGAAAUGCAAUUUGGACAUCAGC